UACAGAGGGUGCAAGCGUUAAUCGGAAUUACUGGGCGUAAAGCGUGCGCAGACGGUUGCGUAAGUCAGAUGUGAAAGCCCCGGGCUCAACCUGGGAAUUGCAUUUGAGACUGCGUAGCUAGGGUGCGGAAGAGGGAAGCGGAAUUUCCGGUGUAGCGGUGAAAUGCGUAGAUAUCGGAAGGAACACCAGUGGCGAAAGCGGCUUCCUGGUCCAGCACCGACGCUGAGGCGCGAAAGCUAGGGGAGCAAACAGG
rnacentral:rRNA from 1 species